UCUAAUGAUUUUAAGUGAUGACAUGGGAAUUCUUUUGGCAAGUGAGGAAUCACUCAUCAUUGUACCAUUGUUGUGUUGAGUAUUAAUGACAUAGCAGGUUGCUUAGCAAGAGGACAGGUAUCAGGUGGAAGGAUGUUUUCCUUCUGCUUUCGGACUUCUGUGGCACAUCUACAGACCUGCCUCCAAAUCUGGGCUCCCUAGGUAAGGACAGAGGUUUACAAUCUGAACUCAGUGCAGUGAAGGAUCACCAAGAUGGUCUGGGGCUGGAGCUCAUGGCAUGCAGGGAAGUGCUGAGUGCACUCAGUUUCUCAGAGGAAGGCAAGGUGAAAUCUCCCUUCCACUUAAAACUCCAUGAUGGCUGCUUACAGAGAAAACAGGAUUGGACUCUGUGGAGGUGCAGAGAGAAAAUACAAGAGGCAGUGGGCACAAAAUUCUCAUUACUUAUUAUGAGUAAGUACUUCUUGAAAACAAGAGUGGUCAGCCAUUGGAACAGAUUCACUAUAAAUACUAGGGAGCUUCCAUUGCUGGGGAUUUUUAAUAUUUCGCUGAAGGGGACCUUGAGCACCCUGAUGCCACUGCACAGUGGGCUCUGCUGUGAGCACCCAGUUGGACAGGGUGACUCCAGUGCUCCCUUUCAGCCUGAGUCAUUCUGUGUGUUCUACAGGUUUGGUGUUUCAUUUGGGUUUAUAUGAAACUAAAAGUACUGGUGGAAAUUAACGCAAGUGUUUUCAUACACUUAGUUGACAAGAAAACGUUUUGCAUUGAAGAUUCUGCAUAUAUUCCAAUUUUGCUGAAUCUGUAAGCAGCAAUUGUGAAGAAUAUGAAUCAAACUGUAAGCAUAUAUAUAAAGAAAGAGGGUAAGAGACAUUUAUAGGAGCUUUGUAAGAAGGAGAGUGCUCUGCAGGAGGCAAAGCCAAAACAUUUUAUCUUUAUUUUGAGAUCUUAGUUUUUUUUCUUAAAACAUCUUUUUUUAAGACUUGAAAUAGAGCCAAGCCCUGAAGUCUUGGCUCUGAGUUGUCUUCUCAUAUGAGUAGCUUUUUGAUUGUCUUAUUUAAUAUUGGAACAGAUCCUAAUCGUAUAGAAAUUAAUGAAGUUGUAUGUCUCUAGAAUGGAAAUAUUAUGACAGAAAUCUAAGAUGUGACAGAAGUCUAAGGUGUUAUUCUGUGGGCUAGGAAAAAGCAAGACCGAGAUUCAUACAUGAAAGUGAAAUGCUUGAGAUUCUUAAAGGCUUCCAUUUUUUUUUAUUUUUUUUUAUUUUUAGGAACUGCUUAGAAAGUGUAUGCAAAUACAAAAUCAUUACUUCACAUGUAGAAAAUUACAAAUUUAUGUAUACGGAGACAUCUGGUGAUGAUAUACUGAUCCUAUUCAGGUCACUUGGGCUGAGCCUUUCCCAUGAGUUUACUUCUCUACUAUAUAAUAUAAUAUCAGUAACAGGGAUAAGUAUUUUCCAGUUAUGAAAAAUAAGUGUAUGGGUGAUGCAGUUUAGCAUUGAUUGUAUGGGAUCCCAGAGCACGCUUUCUAGUGUUCUCUUUGCAUUUGUGACUUCAGUUGCUUUAGGAAUUACAUUUCCAUCACCAUCGACUGGAAAUUUUGCCUUUGAAGUUACUCUGUUCUUUGAGUAAAAUAGCGUUAUUUUGAGUAGCACAACAUUUUCAUUCUUGAAGCAGAGUUUCUGAGUUUCACUUUCUUCUUACAAGUAGUAAGGGAAAGUAAGGGAAAAUACCACUGCACUUUGUCUUGGAAUCAUCAUGUAAUUAGGUGAAGUGAAGAGUAUAUGAAAAGUUAGUUUCAAUCUCUACCCUGGGUUGAGAAUUGUUUUAGUUGCUUUUUCAUAAUUUGUUUACAAGAGUGGAAGCUACGUAGGCCUGGCUUCCCUGGGAAGGCUGGGCUCUUUCCCGAAUAAAGUUAGAAGCUCUUGAAGAGAUGAACAACCAUCUGUGGUGCUGCCCUGGUGUACAGAUAAAUGAACCAUCUGGCUUAGCUGGCAUUCUCUAAGGAAAGCAGAUGAGCAAAGCCAUUUUUUAUUUGCCAUAAACAGAAGAACCCAGAGUUUCUGGCGGAUACGUACCUGCCCAAUCCUUUUACUGUCCUAUUACACAUCUGCUGUCCAUGAGCUUGUGUGUCCUUUUGGGCCUGCUGUAUGCCUUCUCCCUCAAGCUCUGGUGGCAAUCAGUUGCAGAAGUCAGCGUGCACUGUUUUGAUAUCUCCUGAAACCCACCUCUUGCCAGAGUCUUUGGUCAUCCUUACAAGUUCUCACAGGCUGUGUGAGCAGGAGUUGUGCAUUCAGUUUAUUCACCACACGGACUGCUUUGUUUUUCUCCAUUGCCUUCUCACCUUCCCGUGUCCUCUUUUGGAUGUUAUCUAGUUUAUGUUCUGUAUGCUUCUGUGCAUUCCCAGACAUGAAUACCUAGUACUUCAGUAUCUUUUCCAGCCUUGGUUUGCAGUGUCUGUUUUUUCAUAUGGAUGGCAGAGAUAAAUGCAGACGUAUUAAUGUGGCAUGUAUGUUUUAAAACGUUGUAUAACAACAGAUAUACACUUCUGACAUAUGCGUGUGCAACUGCUGUUAAUUAAAUGAAAGUUAUGUACGUGUUCAAGGGACGUUAUGUCCUUAAAAACGCACAUUUAAGAAUUGUGGUCAGGAUGGCCAAGCUUUAUGCAAUUUCUAAGAAUAUGGAGACAAUCUAUAUUGCUUAGUGCCUCGAAUGAGAACAGUCAUUUUUGUCAGGAUUUCUGCAUUUGCAUUACUCAGCUCUCUGGGGGAUCUCUUUUGGUAGUGUGCAGCACAGAGACUGUUUUUUUCCUUGGAAAAGACUACAAAGUUCCCUUUCUCCUGGCCUGUGCUCCUCAGCUGCAUGGGUGCACAUUUCCAUAGGGCUCCCAGAGCAUCUCACCAGUGGUGACGCAGUGUCACGUAUAUUUCCAACACAUGGGUAAGUAGACAUUAUCAUGAUAUUCCUAUAAAUGAACUGAAAAUCUGUUUGUACUGUUUUGUGUCCAUUGUGUCUGGCUGUUGGUAAUGAAGCGAGUUUGCAACAAAUAGGGAAGGCUGAAAGAAGAAGUUUUUAAUGAAUGGUAAAACAAUCUGAUUUGUUCUAGAUAGUAGAGUGACUGCAGAUUGGUAUCUGUUUUCUUGAUCUUCAGAGCUGAAUGUUAGCUUUGUUGUUUUUUGUCAUUUUGUCUGAUGGAAAUAUUGAUGGUGAAGCCAUGUGUCUGUGGGAGCCAGUAAGGCUGGUAGGGUUCCUUCAGUGUGAUGCUGGCUUGGGAAGACAGACCUUGUUUGUGCAUGUCCCAGCUGCAGAGUAAAAUCACUGCUCUAACUCCCAAGUAAAAGAGAUGCAGAAGCCAGAGGGUGACCUUAAGAAAUAAAUAUUAUGGGCUCAAUCAGUCGGCACCCAAGACAAGGAGUCAUCAGUUCAACUUGUUUCUUACAGCAGGAAUGAGUGGAGUAAGGAUGUCUUAUGUCAAGGGAUGAAGUGCAAAAGUAAGUUUUAGAAUAACCUGCUAUGAUAUGAACAAACAUGACCUCUGAAGCUGAAACGAUAUCUGCUGUAUCUGAAACUACUGCAGCAGUUCACCUUACCUUUCAGAAGCUUUAUCUUUUGUUUUGUAACAGUAAUGUGCAGUAGAUACAGUUAAAAAAAAAAAAAUACAAAACAGUCUGAGGCAAGUACAACAGGUAGGCUGCUACAGUUUGAUGAAAAUACAGUCAUGACAUUAGAUUAAGCAGAGCAAUAAAGUAACCCAGGAACUAAAAUAUUAAUAGAAUUAUUCUCUAUACAUCUCCUUGCAAUGACUACGGUGUGAAAGGUGUUUGGUUUUUUGUGUUCUUAAUGUCGGAAAGAAAGUGCCUGCUUUGUUUUCACUCUGCUGAUUCUUACCCUGUCCUCGUUGUGAUAGGAUGCUUGUAUGCCUCAAACUGUGGGAACACGUGAUAAACAGACUCUGGGAGCUUUUGUCAUGCGUUUUUAUUUUUGCUAAUCACAAAAGAUGCUUUGCUAAUCGUUGGCAAUAUGAGCAAGACUAAGAAAUAGGAACAAAACUAUUUUUACUGUUGAAGAAGAAAUAAAAAGGCAAAGUUCAUUAGUUUCUGCACAGCUCACAAAUGUGUAGCUGGUGAGAGAUCCUCUAAAACUCAACGUCUUGUAGCAGCAAACACACAGAAGAUAAAUACCAGUGGAUGUCUUCAGCUUUGCUUCUUAUUUAGCAACUCUUGUCUGUUACAAAACCUUGUAACACUCUGUUUUCACUGGAAGAGAGAAGGAACGCUCACUUAUGUGAGCAAAGAAUAUAUGUAUUCUAAAGAACACGGUUAAAAACUAGAAUUUAGCUUUUCCUGUACUCCUUUUCCUUUGUAUGUAUUUAUUUUUUAAUGUAAAGCAGGUCAAUUCUCUUAUGGUAAUGCGGGGCACUGGCUGUUUUAUGCUUCUGGUUACACGUAAUGUAUUAUUAGGUAUUGUGAUUACUAUCAUCUCCUGGUAAUCUCAAAGUGGAUUUGUCUGCUGAUUAUAUCAUUCCUUAAGCAUUUAAUGUAUUUCAUCAUAUCCCUGUAUUCAUUUAAUAAAUUCCUGAAGCUCUAAGAGACUGUAUUGAGAUAUUAUUUGUUGUCGUAGUCCCUUUGUUACUAAUCCUGCCCAAACUUUUCUUUACUUUUUUUCUGAAUUUUGCAAGGGCUUCAGCUUUGGACCCUAGCAUUCCUGUUUAGUUUGUGAAAUACCUGCCUCUUCUAAGCACACUGCAAAAUAACAGCAGUAUUCCGUGACAUUAAACGGCUAUGGAUCUUCACAGGAUUAUUUUAGCUGGGAGGAGCAGUCAUUUAUCAACUCUAGAGAAAAGACCACCAGAAGAGUGAAUUGAACAGAAGCAACUGAGGUGUGUGUGCUAUGAGAUUAAUGGAGAAAGCAGAGGUUCCUCAGGCAGGCGGAAGCUCUGCCACUGGCUGCGCCUUCUUAGGAAAGCAUAUCUUUGAAAUGAAACCUAAACGUAUCUGGUGAACAUGCUGAAGGAUCUCUUUCGACACUUAGACUCACAUCUGCAGAUCUGGUUGGUUUUGUUUCAGCCAGAGGAAGAGGCUUAUCCCUGAGCGGUUGUGACCUAGCUACCAUCUGCAUUUACCACACCAGUAGCUGUACUGCUCUCUUUCUAUGCCAUUUUGCCAGUUUACGUACAUUUGCUAUGUCAGAAAUGGAUUGGGUUGGAUUAAUUUGCAUUAGAAGGUAAGACUAAGAUAUACCAAACAAGUAGUUUAUUUUUACUGCAUUGAUCUGUAACACUUUCUGAGCACUUUCCCUAUGAAAAUGGUCAUUUUAUCAACUAUGUGGGUAAAAUAAUGACAAUUUAUAUUAUUCUGACCAACCUCUUUGAUUGCUGGAAUUUUCUUCUAACUAGCUAUUAAACUACUUGUGAUGGAACUUACGGAAACUCUCAGUCAGUCCAUCUGUAUAUUGAUAGUAUAGUAAGCUCACAGUUGUAGAAAGCUGGAAUUGGUCAUGGUUUCUCUGUUUGUUGAUCUGGGGCUGGGCUGGGAGGAGGUGGUGCUUGUGCUAAGCACAGUGUAAGACUCUGUAAAUUGAUUGUAUGUCAUCAGUAAUGCAACAUAUAAUUUUUAGUCUGUCACUUCCCAUGCAAGUGUGUGUGGUCUACAACUAGAACUAGACAUGUUCUAUGUGUGGUAUACAACUAGAAUGUCAAAAUGUUAUCUGAGGACUAAAAAAGAGAAAUAGUGAAACCUUCAGAGAGAUUUUGUACAAGCUUCCAGGUAAGUGGCUGCAUAACUCCUGUUGCCAGGUACAAACCACUUCUGUGUGAGGCUGUGCCCUAUUGUCACUUCAGAAAAAGGGAAUUGUGCUGUAAGGCUGGAUUUCAAACGAGGACACAGCGUCUCAUCUGCGUGCAGAGGUUUUUUGCAUUAUUAUGUCAAUAAUGUAUACAAAUUAUGCAUAUAUUCUGAUUUGGGGCUGGGUGUGUCCCCUGGGUUUCUGCGUGGGUGGUGUCUCUCAAAGAUGAAUGCUUUUUAUCAUGAAAUAUAGGUAAUUGGAUGGCCCCGGUUGAACAACAGCUGUGUAUUUAAAUGUGACCUUAUAUCUAGUCAGUCUUGUAACCUGCGUUUUCAAUAUGGUAUUUAGGAGGUAUUUGAGGAAUUGUUCAAAUGGGCACCACAGAAGUGUAUUAACACAAGAAGUUGACUUGUAAUGUUGAGAUUUUGCUCUUGGCCUUGCUUGGUCUGUGGUGAUUUAACCAGCUGUAACCACGUGCAGACAGUGACUUGUAUGUAUUGUGUGCUGCUUUGUGUUUCUUGCUGAGCAAGGAUGUGGGAACAGACUUCAGUUUUAUAAGUACACCAUGUAAGUGCCUGGGAGAGCUUGAAGUCUGUUGUUACACUACUAGGAUGUGGCUUUUAUUAGUUGUUUACUGUGUAUAGUGUUAUUUUGCUACAGGAGAAGAGGCUCCAUAAUGCCAGAGCUGUGCCGUGUUUAUGCAGCCGCAGUGAAUCACUGUUACUUUAGCCUUUGCUGCUUUGAGGUGUCACGUAGGUGCCUAAUCUCAUCCAGAAAAAGAUGCAAGGAUUCGGAAAGUGUAAGAAUGAGCAGAGACAGCAUCCUGCCUGUAGUUGAAGGAAGAAGAGGAGAAGGGAGCUGUAUGAUAUUGACAUAUGAAGAUAUGCAAAGCCAUUAUUCCUGCUCUGGCCGAUUGUUUUAAUAAAAUUACUUCCAUAAUAACUGAA